AACUCAGGGAUUGGAGCCCUAAUGUUGGCUAAAGAAAAUUGCUCAACUCAGGUAUUGGAGCCCUAAUGUUGGCUAAGGAAAGCCGCUCAACUCAGGGAUUGGAGCCCUAAUGUUGGCUAAAGAAAGUUGCUUAACUCAGGGAUUAGAGCCCUAACGUUGGCUAAAGGAAGAACGCUCAACUCACGGAUUGGGGCCCUAAUGUUGGCUAAAGGAAAAACGCUCAACUCAGGGAUUGGGGCCCUAAUGUUGACUAAAGAAAAGCUGUUCAACUCAGGGAUUGGGGCCCUAAUGUUGACUAAAGGAAAAUUUCUCGACUCAGGGAUUGGAGCCCUAAUAUUGACUAAGGUAAAUCGCUCAACUCAGGGAUUGGAGCCCUAACGUUGGCUAAAGGAAGAACACUCAACUCAGGGAUUAGAGCCCUAAUGUUGGCUAAAGGAAACGCUCAACUCAGGGAUUAGAGCCCUAAUGUUGGCUAAAGAAAAACCGCUCAACUCAGGGAUUGGAGCCCUAAUGUUGGCUAAGGAAAACCGCUCAACCCAGGGAUUGGAGCCCUAAUGUCGGCUAAGGAAAAUCUCUCAACUCAGGGAUUGGAGCCCUAAUGUCGGCUAAGGAAAAUCGCUCAACUCAGGGAUUGGAGCCCUAAUGUCGGCUAAAGAAAAUUGCUCAACUUAGGGAUUGGAGCCCUAAUGUCGGUUAAAAGAAAAUCACUCAACUCAGGAAUUGGAGCCCUAAUGUCGGAUAAAAGAAAAUCGCUCAACUCAGGGAUUGGUGCCCUAAUGGCGGCUAUAAUAAAAUUCGCUCAACUCAGGGAUUGGAGCCCUAAUGUCGGCUAAAUGAAAAUCGCUCAACUCAGGGAUUGGAGCCCUAAUGUCGGUUAAAAGAAAAUUCGCUCAACUCAGGGAUUGGAGCCCUAGUGUCGGCUAAAAGAAAAUCACUCAACUCAGGGAUU
rnacentral:lncRNA from 1 species